rnacentral:rRNA from 1 species
GGGGGGGCUUAAUGGCAAGUCGACGAAGCGCUACCGACGGAACUUUUCGGAGGGAAGAUGGUAAUGACUGAGUGGCGGACGGGUGAGUAACGCGUGGGUAACCUGCCUCACAGAGGGGGACAACAGCCGGAAACGGCUGCUAAUACCGCAUAACAAGGGAUUGCCGCAUGACGAUCCUUUCAAAGAUUUAUCGCUGUGAGAUGGACCCGCGUCUGAUUAGCUUGUUGGUGGGGUAACGGCCUACCAAGGCGACGAUCAGUAGCCGGCUUGAGAGAGUGAACGGCCACAUUGGGACUGAGACACGGCCCAGACUCCUACGGGAGGCAGCAGUGGGGAAUAUUGCACAAUGGGGGAAACCCUGAUGCAGCGACGCCGCGUGAGUGAAGAAGUAUUUCGGUAUGUAAAGCUCUAUCAGCAGGGAAGAUAAUGACGGUACCUGACUAAGAAGCCCCGGCUAACUACGUGCCAGCAGCCGCGGUAAUACGUAGGGGGCAAGCGUUAUCCGGAUUUACUGGGUGUAAAGGGAGCGUAGGUGGCAGGGCAAGUCAGAUGUGAAAACCCGGGGCUCAACUCCGGGAUUGCAUUUGAAACUGUCCGGCUGGAGUGCAGGAGAGGUAAGUGGAAUUCCUAGUGUAGCGGUGAAGUGCAUAGAUAUUAGGAGGAACACCAGUGGCGAAGGCGGCUUACUGGACUGUAACUGACACUGAGGCUCGAAAGCGUGGGGAGCAAACAGGAUUAGAUACCCUGGUA